AAAUUAUACGAAGGGACCCAACACAGAAAAUUCAUUUUAUUGAAUU
rnacentral:sRNA from 1 species